GAGAAGGCAGGACACACAGCACAAGCUGAGGGAGAGAAGUCCUUGCUGAAUUCUUUUCACAGGGAAUUCAGAUGGCAAAACACACUGUGGUUGAACAGAGCAGAUUCACACUUUGGAAAGUUGAAAGACGGCAAGGGAAAGCCACAUUCAGUGGAAGAGAAAACUUCAAAGGAUGAUGAGCAAGUGUUCAGCUCUACUCAGGGUGUAAACCAUCACUCACCACUGGGGAUAAUAAAGAACAUUGCUGAGUGUGAGGAUAUCACUGGACUUUGGGUUGUCUAGAGGGAACACUGAAAGCUGAAAACGAUAUAGCAAUCCUGAAUGAUGUUGACAUCUUGAUGACUUCCUCCAUCUUGCUUUUUGAAGAUAGAGUCAAGUUACAAAUGCACACUACUGGUAUUACUCCCUUAGAAUAUGCUAUGAGGAUUUCCAAACUUGC